AUUGAACGCUGGCGGCAUGCUUACACAUGCAAGUCGAACGGUAACAGGGAGCUUGCUCCGCUGACGAGUGGCGAACGGGUGAGUAAUGCAUCGGAACGUACCCAGUCGUGGGGGAUAACGUAGCGAAAGUUACGCUAAUACCGCAUACGUCCUGAGGGAGAAACGGGGGGACCGUAAGGCCUCGCGCGAUUGGAGCGGCCGAUGUCGGAUUAGCUAGUUGGUGGGGUAAAGGCCUACCAAGGCGACGAUCCGUAGCGGGUCUGAGAGGACGACCAGCCACACUGGAACUGAGACACGGUCCAGACUCCUACGGGAGGCAGCAGUGGGGAAUUUUGGACAAUGGGCGCAAGCCUGAUCCAGCCAUUCCGCGUGCAGGAUGAAGGCCUUCGGGUUGUAAACUGCUUUUGUACGGAACGAAACGGUCUGCCCUAAUACGGCAGGCUAAUGACGGUACCGUAAGAAUAAGCACCGGCUAACUACGUG
rnacentral:rRNA from 1 species